rnacentral:rRNA from 1 species
GACGAACGCUGGCGGCGUGCCUAAUACAUGCAAGUUGAGCGCUGAAGGUUGGUACUUGUACCAACUGGAUGAGCAGCGAACGGGUGAGUAACGCGUGGGGAAUCUGCCUUUGAGCGGGGGACAACAUUUGGAAACGAAUGCUAAUACCGCAUAAAAACUUUAAACACAAGUUUUAAGUUUGAAAGAUGCAAUUGCACCACUCAAAGAUGAUCCCGCGUUGUAUUAGCUAGUUGGUGAGGUAAAGGCUCACCAAGGCGAUGAUACAUAGCCGACCUGAGAGGGUGAUCGGCCACAUUGGGACUGAGACACGGCCCAAACUCCUACGGGAGGCAGCAGUAGGGAAUCUUCGGCAAUGGACGAAAGUCUGACCGAGCAACGCCGCGUGAGUGAAGAAGGUUGUCGGAUCGUAAAACUCUGUUGGUAGAGAAGAACGUUGGUGAGAGUGGAAAGCUCAUCAAGUGACGGUAACUACACAGAAAGGGACGGCUAACUACGUG